UUGCCCUCUAGCUAUAGCAGCAGUCUAGCGCCGGCAGUCACGCUAUAGCAGCGGUUUAGCGUUCGAUCGUCGCGACAUCUAUAUUAGUUAAGCGCCGAUAGUCACGCUAUAGCAGCAGUUUGGCGUUCGAUCGUCGCGACAUCUAUAUUGACAGAGUGUGAUUACGCGUGGGUAUUUACAAGUACUCGAAUGUGGCAGGUACUUUAAAUACUCGAAUACCAUUCUGAUGAAUAUUUCCACGGUUUUCUUUGAAUGCUAUGAACAAUAUUUUGUACAACGUUUUCCGAAACAAAUAAUUCUGCGUUUUGUGUUUCACGUUUUCGAAUCUAAGAACCUAAAACAUUGUGACGUGUCAGCAGUUUCGGUAUGAUAGUGGUGGGCACUGUCGUGUUCCUGCCACGCCCGUUUUGUGCGGCCGACAUUCUUGUUCAGGAUUGUUUCUGAGGAUGGUUUGAUUUCCCUGGCGCUAAUGAGAAUAAUAUGAAGAGACUGUUUCGACCGUGUGUCAGAGGGAAUCAGCCCCCCAGUUAGUCCGGCAUGAGGUGCACACAGUCAAAACGGAUCUAUAGACAAGAUGAAUACAAGGUCCUGUGUUUGACUACACCUGUUUUGGGACGGAGACAUGCCGGAACUAACAGUUUUGACUGUCUGCUACAAGACUGCUCAUCCGACUGCAACUGGAGUGCAUCUACCACGAGACUGCUCACCCGACUGCAGAAUAAUAUGAAGAGACUGUUUCGACCGUGUGUCAGAGGGAAUCAGCCCCCCAGUUAGUCCGGCAUGAGGUGCACACAGUCAGUAAGUUUAACCGAUUGAAUUGGUCGUUUUCAGUCUUAUGAUAGUAUGUGCCUAGUAUGUGCUACUUGCAGUCGAAAUGUGUCAAGGACGAACGAGUAUGGGUCAUGUCAAGGUCUAAUCGUCAGAUCGAGUGUGGCUCAGUUGUUGUGUUAGGGAAGAGCUCACUGCUGCUAUAUGUGACGAUUGUUCUGACGUGUUGCAGAAACGGAUCUAUAGACAAGAUGAAUACAAGGUCCUGUGUUUGAC
rnacentral:misc_RNA from 1 species